GGGGUAAUGGGCACAUUUUUUUAAACUAGAUAACCUCAUUAUGAUUGUGUACAAGUAUGGUCUAUAUAGAUUCAGAGGAGCGAUUUUGGCAAAAGAUUACAAAAACUUGUUAAAAGUUUGCUAUAAAGAGUAAUAACUCCUUAAUUCAAGUUAAGGGGCCAAUUGACACUUUUAGUAAUGUUAACUUAUUUGUACUAACUUUACUCAACAUUAUUGCUGCUUAAAGUUUGUCUCUAUCUAUAAUAAUAUUAAAGAUAAUACAUGUAACUAAAAACUAACAAUUAUUACUUCAGAUGCAGCAACUCAACAACUGGUUGUUUUAUUCGUCUGAAAAUUUCAAGGCAGAUAGGUUUAAACCUGGUGGUCAUUUUAAC
rnacentral:lncRNA from 1 species